GCUCAGAUAUGAUGUCACCAGUUUCCAGAGAAGCAGGAAACUGAUCAAAUGUUAAGAUUUAAGAUUUGUUGAUUUGUCAGUUUGUGUCUGUCCUGGAAACAUGUUUGUGUGCACAAAUGAAACAAGGUUUGGACACACAAUGAAAACAUUUCAUCAUAGCAAGGUCAAAGGUCAAGGCCUUAGGUUGUAACAGCUUAACCAGAUCACAUCACGCUGGCAUUAAAAGCAUUUAAUGAAGUUUCAUUUUAACAUGUGGACACUCGCAAGAACCGAUUGUUUGCAACACACACAUUCUUUUCCUCAUCAGACUUCUGAAGAAACCACGCCUCCUGUUACUGCAGGUGAGUGUUUCCUUUAACCAGUGCUCAAGGACAAAUGCUGCACAGCCUCACUCACGGCAAGGAAGCAGAUGCAUCAGUGUAAUUUAUGAGAACAAAAUGAGCCUAAAAAACUGGUUUGGAUUCCCGAUCAGCCCAGAGAAUUUGACUCCUGCGGUGCUCAACUGCAUCCUUAUUAUUGUUGUCUCGUGCCCAUUCUUCUUGUUGUCAUUGUCACAUACAAGUGUAAACAAAAGAAAAACAG